GUCUUGUUAGCUCAGUUGGUAGAGCAUCUGACUCUUAAUCAGAGGGCCGCAGGUUCGAACCCUGCACAGGACACCA
rnacentral:tRNA from 1 species